GACGAACGCUGGCGGCGCGCCUAACACAUGCAAGUCGAACGAGCGAGAGAGAGCUUGCUUUCUCAAGCGAGUGGCGAACGGGUGAGUAACGCGUGAGGAACCUGCCUCAAAGAGGGGGACAACAGUUGGAAACGACUGCUAAUACCGCAUAAGCCCACAGGUCGGCAUCGACCAGAGGGAAAAGGAGCAAUCCGCUUUGAGAUGGCCUCGCGUCCGAUUAGCUAGUUGGUGAGGUAACGGCCCACCAAGGCAACGAUCGGUAGCCGGACUGAGAGGUUGAACCGGCACAUUUGGAAUGAGGCACGGCCCAGAAUCCUACGGGAGGGAGCAGUGGGGAAUAUUGCACAAUGGGGGAAAACCUGAUGCAGCGACGCCGCGUGGAGGAAGAAGGUCUUCGGAUUGUAAACUCCUGUUGUUGAGGAAGAUAAUGACGGUACUCAACAAGGAAGUGACGGCUAACUACGUG
rnacentral:rRNA from 1 species